rnacentral:lncRNA from 1 species
CUCGGGUAUAAAAAACGACUGCAUGCUCUCUGUUUUUGAGUUAUAGGAAGUCGACCGGGUUUUAAAUUGCGACAGCUCAAAAGAGAAGUUGGUUUGUAAAACUUCAGGAUUAUUUUCACUUCAAACCAUCCAAAGGGUUUAACAGUCGCUCUUUUCUGUUUUGUAAAAGUUGCGGCAUUAUUGUGUUUGCAAAUCCAGGUGAAGAGUUUCAUGGCAGUCCAGUCUGUGAGACUUGUGACAGCCAACAUGUUGCUGAGUGUCUUCUUUCUGUCUGCAAUCUCAGCCAAUGAGAAGCCAAGGAGCGACGGCAUCCAGCAGCACUGCUGUGUGAUUGGUGCAGAGGUGGAUUCUAGGGGAAUUUUUGAGAGGAAAAGUUGCCACAUGGUGCAAAGUGAAUCCAAGUGAAUAUAUAUAGUUGACAGAUUUGGGGACACCAGA